UGGGGAAUAUUGGGCAAUGGGCGCAAGCCUGACCCAGCCAUGCCGCGUGAGUGACGAAGGCCUUAGGGUUGUAAAGCUCUUUUGGCGGGGACGAUAAUGACGGUACCCGCAGAAUAAGCACCGGCUAACUUCGUGCCAGCAGCCGCGGUAAUACGAAGGGUGCAAGCGUUACUCGGAAUUACUGGGCGUAAAGCGUGCGUAGGUGGUUGUUUAAGUCUGAUGUGAAAGCCCUGGGCUCAACCUGGGAAUGGCAUUGGAAACUGGGCAGCUAGAGUGCGGUAGAGGGUAGUGGAAUUCCCGGUGUAGCAGUGAAAUGCGUAGAGAUCGGGAGGAACAUCUGUGGCGAAGGCGACUGCCUGGACCAGCACUGACACUGAGGCACGAAAGCGUGGGGAGCAAACA
rnacentral:rRNA from 1 species